GCCCUUUACUUUUUUCUUACAGAGAUUACAUGAUGAUCUGAUUAAUGGAAACAUGCGUUCCAACAGAUUGUACCUCUGGAGAAUCCAUCUACCUCUCUCAGGCUUAAACAGCACCUUAAACUAAGGGCGCUGAAUUUAAGUGACCAGCGGAUCUUUGAGCUUCUGAGGGUGAUAGAGGAGGUCAUGGGUCUAGGAGCCAGGAUAAGGAAAGGAGAGAUCAAGCUUCUAGACUUGGUGUUUGAUGUCAUGCUCCCAGAGAUCCUGAUCAGCAUCCUGGACGAUGAAGGACUGACCCGGCUACAAGCUGAGUUAUUAAUGGCUAGAAGGAGACUUUUUUAAGUGUAAACCUCCAUUUUGUUUAUUCAUUUU